rnacentral:rRNA from 1 species
GACGAACGCUGGCGGCGUGCCUAAUACAUGCAAGUAGAACGCACAGUUUAUACCGUAGCUUGCUACACCAUAGACUGUGAGUUGCGAACGGGUGAGUAACGCGUAGGUAACCUGCCUGGUAGCGGGGGAUAACUAUUGGAAACGACAGCUAAUACCGCAUAAUAUUAAUUAUUGCAUGAUAAUUGAUUGAAAGAUGCAACUGCAUCACUACCAGAUGGACCUGCGUUGUAUUAGCUAGUAGGUGAGGUAAAGGCUCACCUAGGCGACGAUACAUAGCCGACCUGAGAGGGUGAUCGGCCACACUGGGACUGAGACACGGCCCAGACUCCUACGGGAGGCAGCAGUAGGGAAUCGUCGGCAAGAGACGAGAGUCUGACCGAGCAACGCCGCGUGAGUGAAGAAGGUUGUCGGAUCGUAAAGCUCGGUUGUAAGAGAAGAACGGGUGUGAGAGUGGAAAGUUCACACUGUGACGGUAUCUUACCAGAAAGGGACGGCUAACUACGUG